rnacentral:rRNA from 1 species
GACGAACGCUGGCGGUGUGCUUAACACAUGCCAGUCGAACGGAAAGGCCCUGCUUUUGUGGGGUGCUCGAGUGGCGAACGGGUGAGUAACACGUGAGUAACCUGCCCUUGACUUUGGGAUAACUUUAGGAAACUGGGGCUAAUACCGGAUAGGAGCUCCUGCUGCAUGGUGGGGGAUGGAAAGUUUCGGCGGUUGGGGAUGGACUAGCGGCUUAUCAGCUUGUUGGUGAGGUAGUGGCUUACCAAGGCUUUGACGGGUAGGCGGCCUGAGAGGGUGACCGGCGACAUUGGUCCUGAGAGACGGCCCAGACGCCUACGGGAGGCAGCAGGGGGGAAUAUUGCACAAUGGGCGGAAGCCUGAUGCGGCAACGCCGCGUGCGGGAAGACGUGCUUCGGGUUGUAAACCGCUUUCGAAUGUGACGAAGCGUGAGUGACGGUAAUGGGUAAAGAAGCACCGGCUAACUACGUG